CUCCUCUCCUUUCAGUCAUUAGUGAAAGAAGCCAAGGAGCAACAGCUGCAGAACCAGACCAUUUUAUUUGUGUUGGCGACCUGUUAGUGUGUGCGUGCUCAACUACAUUCAAGUGAACUGGUGGCCAGGUGGUCCUGCCCUGCCUUGGGUCUAUACUCCAAUAAAAGGAUGGCGAGCUAGAAAUCAAGCAAGGAGCCUGAUGGUCCUUUCCAUGUCUUCAACACAAUUGUCAAGUCUGGUAGGAGGCUCUGCAGCUUAUCCCUCUCUCCCCACCACUCAAGCUAAGCACUCCCGAUAUCCAUUCAACCUCUGAUACUUCAAGCAGCGCUACAGGACAACUCUCCUUCUAACUCCAUAAACCUGAAGGCAUUCAUACUUGGCGGUUCAUUAUUCAUGAACAUUGGGGGUGGGGAAAUUGGACUCAGGUUUUUUUCCAGUUGGAAAAUGAUUGUGUGCACACUGUAAAUAUUUGGUUUUUUUCUGCAUCAUUUUUUGUAAAAUACAUUUUAACUCAAA